rnacentral:rRNA from 1 species
UACGUAGGGUGCGAGCGUUAAUCGGAAUUACUGGGCGUAAAGCGUGCGCAGGCGGGCUUUUAAGCCAGACGUGAAAUCCCCGGGCUUAACCUGGGAAUGGCGUUUGGGACUGGAAGUCUGGAGUGCGGCAGAGGAGACUGGAAUUCCUGGUGUAGCAGUGAAAUGCGUAGAUAUCAGGAGGAACACCGGUGGCGAAGGCGCCACUCUGGGCCGACACUGACGCUGAGGAGCGAAAGCGUGGGUAGCAAACAGG